rnacentral:lncRNA from 1 species
GCCAGGGACAGAACCUGUGCCAAAGCAUUUGGAUUCAAUCCCUGGCCCAGGAACUUCUAUAUGCCAUGAGUGCAGGCAAAAAAGAAGAGGCAAAGAGAUUUUAAGUAACUUGUUCAUGGUUAUAAAGACAUUGAGCAGCAGAGGUAUUAUUUAUUUAACUCCAUAUCCAGUGAUUUUAAACAUCAAUAAAAAUCCUAACAAGAUGUUUUUUCAACUAAAGAAAGUUCUGCAAUACAUGCAAAAAAUUAAAUAUAAUAUUAAGGAAUGCUCUUUUAAAAAAAAGAACCAGAAGGGUAGUAUUUUAGCAGCCACAAGAGCUCAUUAUAAAGCAACACCAUUUAAAACUUUAGUUCCUGGCACGGAAACAGAAACACAGAUCAAUAGAACAGAUUGGAAAAUCCAGAAAUAGAAUAAAGUGUUUUUAAAAAUGUAACACAUGAUAACACAAGCUUCCCAUAAUAAAAAAAAUGUUAGGAAGAAUUAUUUAAUAUGUCAAGUUAGAAUAACUGGAUGAUGACAAUUUGGGAACUGAUCAGGUAAGAUACAUAUUUUACACUGUACGCAAAAAUAACCUCCACAUAGAUUAAGGAGCUAAACACACACACACACAAAAAAAUGAAUGACAGAAAAACCAGCAGGAGAUGGAAUAGAAUAUUUAUCAGAUUUGUGAAAGAGCAGUAACUUCAGCUUUGAAGCAGUGGAAUAAAUCAUGAAGGGAAGGACUGACAGAUUUGAAUACAUAAAAAAUUUGAAACUUUUGUACAAUGAAAAAACAGCAAGACUAAAAUAAAAAGGACAUUAUACUGAGGGCAUUAUUUGCAUUCCAUCUGACAAAGAGGGCUUUAAAACUCAAACUAAAUAUACCCUUAUUCAAAUGUAUAAGGAAAACAUCAGAUCUCAAAAUAUAAAUAAGGAAAAAAACCCCAAUGAAUUGACAGAGAGGUACCAUCAGUAAAGAAAAAAGAAAAAUAGAAAAUUGUUCAGCCCAAUGAACAAUACAAUAAAAGUAAAGCAAACUUAAGGUAGGAUUUUCCACCUUUCUAUUAACACUUCCCUCAAACAGGCAAUACCCAAUGUUGCCCCAAUUAGAUAGAAAGCUGUGUACUCGUUAAUUACGGAUAGGAUGUAACCUUCUUAAAAGUCAUUAUCACAAUCCACAGUCAGAGUCAGGAUCGAAACCACACUGAUUUCCAUAAUCAGCAGUUACACAGAGAGCACUUUCUCUUCUGGGAUAAAAAAGCAAAAAGUGGGUUGAGCAUAGAGAUGGUCAUUUUUUAUUGCUCACAAGGGGGGAAUGCUGGAAAGAAUCCAAACACUCCAAGUUAUGGGAAUGGUUUUAUUAAACUAUUACACAGACUAUUAUACAGGGCGAGACAUUUUAAGAUUCUCUUUUCAGGAGUUUAGUCCAAAUGAAUGGAGAAAGAGACAGGGACAUAUCUUGAGGGGAAACAGGAUUAAGAGAAAAUCAUAAAAUUAUUCUGUUUAAGCUUGUCAGAGCCUAGAUGUGCUUAUCACUUGAGGGGACCAAUAUAUUAGAGAAAAAAGGAAGAACGAGACUGUGAGAAGGAGAAUGAGAAUGAGAGAAGCAAGGAGAGGAGAUGGUGGGAGGGCAGAGAAGGAAAGGGAGAUGCAUGGUGAGACUGCAGGAAGAAUCAAGUCCAGAAAGCAGACGCAAAGGUAAACACAGAAGAGUCUGCUGGAGAAACGAGGAGUGAAGACAAAGAGGAGUUCCCGUCAUGGCUCAGCAGACUAGCAUCCACAAGGACGCAGGUUCAAUCCCUGGCCUUACUCAGUGGGUUAAGGAACUGGCGUUGCCCGUGAGAUGUGGUGUAGGUUGCAGAUGCGGUUCGGAUUUGGCAUUGCUGUGGCUGUGGCGUAGGCCGGUGGCUACAGCUCCAAUUAGACCCCUAGCCUCAGAGCCUCCAUAUGCCGUGGGUGUGACCCCAGAAAAGACAAAAAAAAAAAAAAANCAACAGAAGCAUGUUUAAAGCGAAAACACACAGAUCAGUUUGAUCCUCUGAGAAUUCCUUCCUCAGGGGAGCUGUUCUUGGUUUAGCAGAAUCCAGUAGCCCUGACCCAAACACACCAGAAUUCUGUAACAUUUUAUAACAGCAUCACUUCCCAGCUAGGAAAGGAGAAAUGAGCAAAAAUGCCACCAGGGGGCAGGUUUGGUACUGGCAAAGGGACUUCAAAGAUAACUUGGAAAAAAAAAAAAAAAAGAAAUAUAUUGAACAUGAUGAAGGAUAAUGUGAGAAAAAGACUAUAUAUAUAUGACUGGGUCACUUUUCUGUAUAGUAUAAAUUGACAGAACACUGUAAAUCAACUAUAACAGAAAAAAUAAAAAUCAUAAAAAUAAAUACAAUUUAAAAAUAUAUAAAAAAUACAUGUUGUUUUUUCCUUUCUGCACAGGGUCCAUUCUUUGUUUUGCAACAAUAAAUACUCCAUCAAGUCCACAGCAAUUUCCUUAAUGGUAUAGUAGAUAUGAAUUUUGCCCCAUAACCUCAAGUAUGUAAGAAAUGUCACAGUAUUUCAUAUCCUUUAAAUAAAAUUAAAUCCAACCUCAAGCCACCAUUCUUCUAGGUCAGGUUCAAAGUCAGUCUCAGUCAUUAUUAUGGUUCCCUCAGCUUCAAAGGGUCUUGCAAGGGUUCUGGGGGUUUCAGCCAGGGCUAAUGUUUCGGUCAUUGGUCCAAUAUGUGCAAUGCUUAUGGUGUGAACCAACAUGAUCCCUUGAUAGGCUGUGACUAGUUGGGAAUGGGCAGAUAUUCCAUCACAUGGAAUGCUCUCUCUCUCUCUCUCACACACACACACACAGCUCCUUAGGGCACUCGGAGAAGGGAGGCUGGAUAUUGUCCUUAUCUAUAGAAUUCUUGCCUCCAGUACACCAUGCCUUUCUGCCCCUCUCUCCCAUGCCUGCCUCUCUGCCUCCAGACUCCUUGCCUUGCUCUUAUGGGUUUUAGCACUGGCCAGCUGACGCUUUCAGAAAAUCUAGGAGACAGGUGUCUUCGAGGCUAGAGAAGACUCAACAGAAGUGUAGAGCUGAGAGAACAGGUCUAAUCCUCAGAAGGGGGAAAGGAGAAAACACAGGACAGCAAAUACCCACAUACCGUAAUUGUGCUACCACACUGACCACAAGAUGGCAGUUCUUAAAACCCCCCUUUUACAAGUCUGACAGAAUGUGAAAGUGGGUUUUCUUUUCCUGGUAGAUGAUGCAGAACUCAGACAUCCCUCAAAGUUUAUGGGCCAGAGAGUGGCCAUCAGAUUAGGUGCCCUGGGGGAACAAAGACAAAGAAGGGACACAUCCUCAUCUUAAGGAACUUCCAGGGACAUAUGAACAGAAACAGGUGAUCAAGCACUGACGGAUUUAGGUAAGAGCUGCAAACUAAAAGCCUGAAGGCUAAACCUCACCGGUGUUACAAAUUUUUCACGUGCCAACAUUUAAAACAUUUAAAGUAAAGGAUAGUUCACAUAAGUAUCUGUAAAUCUAACAGCUCUUAAAAAUGAAUAAGUCCUGGCACCCCAGACCUGCAUCCCACAUGGCAGCCAUCAUUAGGAGCUAUGUAGACAGAGGCUCAUCCCUUUAGCUGGGGUCACUGCUUUCUGAUUGACUAUAGUCCCCACCACUUCCUAUUAUAUUAUGCCCCAUCUACUUUCCUCAUGCAUGCUAUUUACCUAGCUUCCACAGGUAUUUGGGUUUGCAACCUAUAAACUAAAAAAAUUGUACUCGGGACACAGUGGUUCAGUAUUGCAUGAUGCUAAUCAAGUUUCUGCAGUUCCUCAAUGCUCACCCUGAUAGAUCUGGAAAUUCAAAAUUAUUUCAGAUGGGCCUUAAGAUCUGAGCAGAAACUACGGAAACUGGUAUAUUUUAGUAAUCAAUUUGAUUCAUAUGUGAAUGUUACAGACAAGGCUAGCGGUACUUCUAGCAUGGAGCAAAGUAUAAUCAUGCUUGUGUGUGGAAGAGUAAACUUAAAGCAAAAAAAGAUAUUUGUGAACUGAAGAUUUAUCUGUGUUCUUUGGCUUCAUUUCCCAUUACUGUUAUCUCAAGUGCCCCAUGGAUCAACCAGUCACAAGUGGAUAAGUGUGUGCUGGUGUGAGUGAGCUGUGGGAAGCCAAACCCAUGGACACUGCGUUCCUGUUAUUUGCAUCAGCAACAUCACCUACUUAUAAGAGCCUGCAUUUGAAGACUGCUCACAUGCACCGUGAUUCUGAGUAUGUGGGAGCAUGUUAUUUCCUUGUCUCGACUAAUGUUGUAAUACCAAAUGUUGGUGUAAGAAAAUACACCUUUAUUAUAAAGAUUAUGUUUUCUCCAGGUGACAUGUAAGGCCUUCUACUGCCUUUGACAAAAUUAUGUGUAGAUAGGUGCUAUUUUCUAUUGGUUUCAUCCCAGGAGAAUAAAGGAAACAUUAACAGCAUUAUUAUAAACAGUGGUCACUGGGCUGUCUGGUUGAAAGCUGCUUCCAUAAAGAAUAGGAAAGCAUUCAGAGGCUUCCAUUGGGAAGGCAACCAGAUAAAGCAGGGCUGCAGGUAUAGCUGUGCAGAGUGUAUGGAAAAUAAACAGGAGGUAGAGACCAGAAAAGAAGCAGAAACUAUCUGGGCAGGGGAGUAAUAAAAAUCUAGAAUACCACAAUUUACCCCCAAAAUCAAAAAGAGCAUUUACGGAGGACAUCUUAAAAACUCAGUUGUUGAACACAGUGUCAGAGAGGGGUUGUCACAGUGUCAUUAGAUUGGAGAGUGACAAUGUUCUCACAUGUGCAUGCACCCACACACCUUUAACACACUCAAACUCCAAAUGAAUUACCAAAUACUCCCUCUCCCCUCCUGCCACCCCAGGGAAGACUCACUAUACCACUGAGUCUGAAAUCUGACGGCUCCACCUAACAGGAGUCUGAAUCAGAGGGGCAAAGCCUUCUUUCGUUAUUUAUUUGUUUGUGAUUCUUCACCCAAGAUAAAACCAGAAAUAAAUUUCAAGUGUGCUUUGAGUGCACUCCAGGUUAUAAAUCACACACUUGGAUUCUCAUACUACAGUAAGCAUAAAACCACACAGAUCAACAAUAGAUAAACACAUAUAUAUAUGCCUCCCAGCCUUGCCAAAUUCAUGCACACACACCCACGCAAAGAGAGAAUAAAAGGAAACUAAGAAUCUGAGAACCAGCGAUAAUCUGACUGCAGCAUGCAUGUUUACGAAUCAGAAGCAAGCAGGGCAAUUAAAAUAGUGUGAUAUAAGCCUAGGCAGGGGCACCAUGGUUCUAAAUGGCAGACAAGCAUUUCCAAAAUUGAGGGAUGGAGAUUCAUGGAUGUGAACCAUAAGAGAAUCAAUGCUGGCAAAUAAUGGGGAGAGGCAAGAAUGUCCUGACUGAGAUUUGAUUUCCAGUUCAGAUUAAAAUUGUAUUAGAUGCUGAAUUAUCUGAUUUUAGCUUAUAUUUCAAUCUUCAAUUUCAAAUUUUCUGAGACUAGAUAAUAUAAAUAUUUCUUUAAAUAAAGGAAGAGUAAAUAGACAGUAUCUCCAAAUAUAAUGGGGCUAUUUAGUCAUCCUGAUCCAUGUCCGUACAACAGUAUCGAGUCCAUAAAACGCAAAUAUCACCUUCUCCAUUGCUUUUCUUAACAAUCAAAAAGUGAGAAAAAUGGCAGCCAUAUCUCUCUCAACUGUAAGCAAUUAUACCCCCAGCCACCAAACAAUGCCUGCUGCAUUCCAUCAAAGUGGAAGAUGUCUGUGGAAACCUCACCAUUAAAUUCUCACACUGUCCAGCUCUUGCUCUUUCUCAUGGGCUACUUAUCAUCUGAAAUGUAUUCUUUAGCACUUACCCAUUUGUGUGACAAAAAGGCAAGCCAGAUCUAAGGAAAUGCUAACUGUCUGAAAUGGCCAAUAGAAGGCUUGCCUAGGCAAAGGCACAGGUAGCCCCCUGCAUCAAUCUCUCUCUUUCUGCUGCCUGAUCACAGGUUUGCCAAGAGGGAGCACAUUUAUAUAUUGGGUAUUACUGUGUACCUUGCAGGGGACUAAAUGAGCCAUGAAUAAGCAGGAAGUGACUCAAGGCUAAAGAAGAUGCUGCAGGUGACCAUCCAGGUGGCUAUGGCUUAAAGGCCACGGUCUUCCCACCUCCACCGAACUAGGCACAAAUUCCAAGGGCCUUGUUGCAAAACAUGGGCCACCAUGCCACCCCCACCUGCUGCUCUCUUCCCACUCCCAACAUUGCCCUUCUGCCCACUGUGGUCUUCGAUCACACCCUCCCCUCUCAGGUCUCUGGGCUGUCAUGCUGUGAUCCUUCUUGGAACCCACUUCUUCACUGUUGUCCCUGACUCAUACCUACUUACUGUUCAAGACUCUGUCACAUGUUGGGGUAGAUAUCCUUUAUCUCUGUCUUUAAAGGAUUUAUCUCCAACUUGGAACUAGUUACCUUGUGAUGAUCUCUUUACUCACUUGUCUCCUAGAAUAUGAGCUUCCCAGGGCGGGGACUAAGUCCCUUUGAUGUUUGUAUUUCCAGUGCCUGGCACAGUGAACACCCAGUGACUGUCUGUCCCUUGCCUGACUGGGAAGGUUUUCUUUUUCUCCCAGAGGGCAAACAGAAGGACUAUCACCUGUAAAAACUGUUAAAGCUAUCACUGAUUUCCCCACUGAGGGCAGGGAGGAGUUGGCAAGUCAGAGCCAUCACUAACUCGGGCCAUGCAGCUGGUUGUGCUGGAAAGGGAGGAUGCAAGCAAUACAGGAUGCCCCAACUUGAUGGUACCUGCUACUGAAAACUCUGCAUGAAAUGGAAUGGCUAUAGAGUCCUCAGGGGACACUCACUGGCUCAAUUCAAUCUACUCUAUGUCCAUGUGGCAUCAAGCAAUGUUAACUCAGGAAACUUCACAGUUCUUGG